GUUCGGAUUCAUUGGGCGUAAAGGGUGCGUAGGCGGCGCGGUAAGUCGGGUGUGAAAUCUCGGGGCUUAACUCCGAGACUGCAUUCGAUACUGCCGUGCUUGAGGACUGGAGAGGAGACUGGAAUUUACGGUGUAGCGGUGAAAUGCGUAGAUAUCGUAAGGAAGACCAGUGGCGAAGGCGGGGUCUCUGGACAGUUCCUGACACUGAGGCACGAAGGCCAGGGGAGCAAACGGG
rnacentral:rRNA from 1 species